GGCAAGAUGGCCGAGUGGUCUAAGGCGCUGUGUUCAGGCUCUUUUGAGAUACCUAAACAAAAUAAAUUCGCAGUCUCCCUGAGGCGUGGGUUCGAAUCCCACUCUUGUCA
rnacentral:tRNA from 1 species